rnacentral:rRNA from 1 species
AACACAUGCAAGUCGAGGGGCAGCAUGGUCUUAGCUUGCUAAGGCUGAUGGCGACCGGCGCACGGGUGAGUAACACGUAUCCAACCUGCCGUCUACUCUUGGCCAGCCUUCUGAAAGGAAGAUUAAUCCAGGAUGGCAUCAUGAGUUCACAUGUCCGCAUGAUUAAAGGUAUUUUCCGGUAGACGAUGGGGAUGCGUUCCAUUAGAUAGUAGGCGGGGUAACGGCCCACCUAGUCAACGAUGGAUAGGGGUUCUGAGAGGAAGGUCCCCCACAUUGGAACUGAGACACGGUCCAAACUCCUACGGGAGGCAGCAGUGGGGAAUAUUGGUCAAUGGGCGAUGGCCUGAACCAGCCAAGUAGCGUGAAGGAUGACUGCCCUAUGGGUUGUAAACUUCUUUUAUAAAGGAAUAAAGUCGGGUAUGCAUACCCGUUUGCAUGUACUUUAUGAAUAAGGAUCGGCUAACUCCGUGCCAGCAGCCGCGGUAAUACGGAGGAUCCGAGCGUUAUCCGGAUUUAUUGGGUUUAAAGGGAGCGUAGAUGGAUGUUUAAGUCAGUUGUGAAAGUUUGCGGCUCAACCGUAAAAUUGCAGUUGAUACUGGAUGUCUUGAGUGCAGUUGAGGCAGGCGGAAUUCGUGGUGUAGCGGUGAAAUGCUUAGAUAUCACGAAGAACUCCGAUUGCGAAGGCAGCCUGCUAAGCUGCAACUGACAUUGAGGCUCGAAAGUGUGGGUAUCAAACAGG